rnacentral:rRNA from 1 species
GCAAGGGCUUACUGUGUCCUAAAGACACUCAAUCUCAUCUGAUCUUGAAUAUUAAGCAGGCUCAGCCCUGGUUAGUACUUGGAUGGGAGACUGUCAACAUAUACCAGUUGCUGCAGGCU